rnacentral:rRNA from 1 species
UACGUAGGGUGCAAGCGUUGUCCGGAUUUAUUGGGCGUAAAGAGCGUGUAGGCGGCUUGGUAAGUCCGCUGUGAAAGUCCAGGGCUCAACCCUGGAAAGCCGGUGGAAACUGUCAAGCUUGAGUCCGGAAGAGGCGAGUGGAAUUCCUGGUGUAGCGGUGAAAUGCGCAGAUAUCAGGAGGAACACCAAUGGCGAAGGCAGCUCGCCGGGACGGUACUGACGCUGAGACGCGAAAGCGUGGGGAGCAAACAGG